rnacentral:siRNA from 1 species
GAAAAACGAGUUGGCCAGAAACGU